rnacentral:rRNA from 1 species
AGGAAGUCUUCGGACRGAAUUUUAGUAGACUUAGUGGCGGACGGGUGAGUAACGCGUGGAUAACCUGCCUUAUACAGGGGGAUAACGGAGAGAAAUUUCCGCUAAGACCGCAUAAGACCACAGCACCGCAUGGUGCAGGGGUAAAAUAUUUAUAGGUAUAAGAUGGAUCCGCGUCCGAUUAGCUAGUUGGUGAGGUAGAGGCUCACCAAGGCGACGAUCGGUAGCCGGCCUGAGAGGGUGAACGGCCACAUUGGGACUGAGACACGGCCCAAACUCCUACGGGAGGCAGCAGUGGGGAAUAUUGGACAAUGGGGGAAACCCUGAUCCAGCGACGCCGCGUGAGUGAAGAAGUAUUUCGGUAUGUAAAGCUCUAUCAGCAGGGAAGAAAAUGACGGUACCUGACUAAGAAGCCCCGGCUAACUACGUGCCAGCAGCCGCGGUAAUACGUAGGGGGCAAGCGUUAUCCGGAUUUACUGGGUGUAAAGGGAGCGCAGACGGCGAAGCAAGUCUGAAGUGAAAUGCAUGGGCUCAACCCAUGAAUUGCUUUGGAAACUGUUUGGCUUGAGUGUCGGAGGGGUAAGCGGAAUUCCUAGUGUAGCGGUGAAAUGCGU